rnacentral:rRNA from 1 species
GAUGAACGCUCGCUACAGGCUUAACACAUGCAAGUCGAGGGGAAACGACAUCGAAAGCUUGCUUUUGAUGGGCGUCGACCGGCGCACGGGUGAGUAACGCGUAUCCAACCUGCCCAUCACUUGGGAAUAACCUUGCGAAAGUAAGACUAAUACCCAAUGACAUCCCACGAAGACAUCUGAAUGGGAUUAAAGAUUUAUCGGUGAUGGAUGGGGAUGCGUCUGAUUAGCUUGUUGGCGGGGUAACGGCCCACCAAGGCAACGAUCAGUAGGGGUUCUGAGAGGAAGGUCCCCCACAUUGGAACUGAGACACGGUCCAAACUCCUACGGGAGGCAGCAGUGAGGAAUAUUGGUCAAUGGGCGAGAGCCUGAACCAGCCAAGUAGCGUGCAGGAUGACGGCCCUAUGGGUUGUAAACUGCUUUUAUAAGGGAAUAAAGUGGGUCUCGUGAGACUUUUUGCAUGUACCUUAUGAAUAAGGACCGGCUAAUUCCGUG